rnacentral:rRNA from 1 species
UCGAACGGAGCUGAGAGGAGCUUGCUUUUCUUAGCUUAGUGGCGAACGGGUGAGUAACGCGUGAGGAACCUGCCUCAAAGAGGGGGACAACAGUUGGAAACAAGUGCUAAUACCGCAUAAGACCACGGACCGGCAUCGGUCAGAGGUCAAAGGAGGAAUCCGCUUUGGGAGGGGUUCGCGUCCCAUUAGGUAGUUGGUGAGGUAACGGCCCACCAAGCCGACGAUGGGUAGCCGAGCUGAGAGGCUGAUCGGCCACACUGGAACUGAGACACGGUCCAGACUCC